rfam:Gossypium hirsutum cultivar TM-1 unplaced genomic scaffold scaffold1551.1, whole genome shotgun sequence
UGUCAAAAAUUUAACCAUUUGUAUUGUUAAAAAUUGGCAUGAUUGGUGAAAUAAUCAGACAAUGACACAUAGCGUGUCAUAUGUACCUAAUGCUAACGUAUCGAGACCAGCUUUUAAUAGUAAAAAUGUAUGAAAUUUUUAACA